GGAGAGGUGCCAGAGUGGCCUAUCGGACACGCCUGGAGAGCGUGACUACUCCAAAAGGGUAGCGAGGGUUCGAAUCCCUCCCUCUCCGCCA
rnacentral:tRNA from 1 species